rnacentral:rRNA from 1 species
GAUGAACGCUGGCGGCGUGCCUAAUACAUGCCAGUCGAGCGAACGGACGAGAAGCUUGCUUUUCUGAUGUUAGCGGCGGACGGGUGAGUAACACGUGGAUAACCUACCUAUAAGACUGGGAUAACUUCGGGAAACCGGAGCUAAUACCGGAUAAUAUUUUGAACCGCAUGGUUCAAAAGUGAAAGACGGUCUUGCUGUCACUUAUAGAUGGAUCCGCGCUGCAUUAGCUAGUUGGUAAGGUAACGGCUUACCAAGGCAACGAUGCAUAGCCGACCUGAGAGGGUGAUCGGCCACACUGGAACUGAGACACGGUCCAGACUCCUACGGGAGGCAGCAGUAGGGAAUCUUCCGCAAUGGGCGAAAGCCUGACGGAGCAACGCCGCGUGAGUGAUGAAGGUCUUCGGAUCGUAAAACUCUGUUAUUAGGGAGGAACAUAUGUGUAAGUAACUGUGCACAUCUUGACGGUACCUAAUCAGAAAGCCACGGCUAACUACGUG